UGUAGGAGUGAGCCUGCUCGCGAUGGCGGCGUGUCAGUCACAUCUGUAUCGCCUGACACGCCGCCAUCGCGAGCAGGCUCACUCCUACA
rnacentral:misc_RNA from 1 species